rnacentral:sRNA from 1 species
AAAUGUGAUAUGAGUCUAAUUACCCUAAUGACUACUCUCACAAAUAAAGAGGUUGUUAUAGCACUUGGAGAUCGAAUUCCACAAAGCUCUCAGAUCACACAAUAGACUAACAGUUUCGAAUUAAGCUAAACA